GAAGGUCUAGGGAGCAUUUAUUUGAAAUACCCAACUAUCUCUAAGUCAGCGGACAUAAAGCAGCGAGGAUGAAAGUUGAAUAGAAGCUGGAAGUUGUCAUAUGCAGUCUAGAGGCUCUAGUUACCAUGGUGAUGGCAACUAGAUUCAGCAGAAGGGGCGCUACAUAAGAUGAGCGGGCACCUGGAAGAUGAGAGAUGUGUCCCUGGGAUGCUGAGAAGAUGGACAUUCUCUGGGCCUUUCUUAUCACAAUCCAAUUUAGGAAAAGCUUUUCACUCACAAAGACAUCUCAACAAUGGAAGUUGCGGUGCUUUCCUGACUCUUGCCUGCUGUGUGCUUCUAAACAGCCAUGACGGCCAGUGAAAAACUCAGUUUCCAAGAUCCAUAAAAAGAAAAAUUCUGCCAUCAAGAAGAUAUCUGUGAAGUCCACAGUGGACAAAUGUAUUCCUUCUUGGACUUGCCUCUGACCUCCUUAAACUCCUAUUGUUACAUUAGCACUUUGGCAUGGACGUGUUUCCGGGGAAAACUGAAAUCAUCAGAGGAUCAUAUCAUCUGUGUUUGUAAAGCUGGAACCUAACACUGUCUGCAGAGAUGGUCCUGAGGAAAUACAUGCGGGAUUAUGCAAAACUAACUUACCCAUGUACAAAUCACCUCCAUUGGCCACUUCCUCCUUUCACUGUGCACAAAAUUCUAUUUUUCCUUUUACCAUGUAGCUUUAAGUAAUUAGUCAUGCCUCAAACUCAGGAGUCACGAUCUUGCCACAUAUAUGAGUGUUUCCAGCAGAGUAAAAUAUCUAUUUGUAGACUGCUUGAAAAAGUGAAUAAAUGAAUGAAAAGAAAAACCCAUGAAUA